UCCCAGGUGUCUGAGUGGUAAAGAAUCUGCCUGUCAAGCAGAAGACUCAGUUUCUGCCAGGAUUGGGAAGAUCCCUGGGGA
rnacentral:tRNA from 1 species